rnacentral:lncRNA from 1 species
AUGAUGGGUCGAGUCGGUGCUUAUGAGAGGCAGCAGGAUGGCACUGGGGAAGAGAAUGAAACAGCCAUGGCGCCCAGCAUGUUAGGCCAAUACAUGCCUCAGUGGAAAUGGAAAUCUUCCUACCUGAUUUAUAUGCUGCUGGCAAUUGCUUUUCUGCUGAUCAUCAUAUUGUUUGGGAUUGUGACUUCCAAGGUGCCACCACUUGCUUCACACUCGAACAAAGCAGAUGUCAAACCAAUUCCUCAGCAGGUUUACGGAUGUGAGUUUUUGCUCAUUCAUUGACUCUUCCUAACUUUCAGGGCCCUUCUACACAUUAAUUAUGACCAGGGUUAAAUUGGGUUAAGGGGGGGGGGGCUAAACAACAUUUAGCCAAAAUUCGAGAGAAAUCAGGAGAAUCGGGUUAAAUUCCAGAAAACACGUGUUUAAAAGCAGCCCUUUAAACCCGGUUUCUCCUCAGAAACACAUGCCUUUCCAUGCCUGUGUAAACCUUCAGGCAUGGAAGACAGUGUUUACCUUCCUUCCCCCCAUCUGGUCUCCCUCCUGCCCCCCCCCCCCCCAACCAUUUCCCUCUCAACUUACUUUCAGUUAGCCUGGAAGCUCAAGUGUGAUGCCUAAGGGGUGGGACCUGACAGUCCUUUUUUUCUCAAGCUUUCAAACUGAUUUCUUGUCCAGGAUUGUUGUCCAUGUGUUUUCAAGAUAAAUGAUGC